rnacentral:lncRNA from 10 species
UGGAGACAGGCAAGGGCCAGGUCAGGUAGGGCUGAAAGAUAUGGAUUUAACUUUGAGGACAAUGAGAUGCCACUUAGGAAGGAUUUUUAGCAGUAGAAUGGCAUAUUUAGCUCUUAUUUUUUAAAGGUCAGUCUGGCCACUAUGUGAAGAAUGGACUGGAAGGGAACAAGAAUGGAGCACAUUUAGAAGGCCAUUGCAAUCACCCAGAUGAGAAGUGCAGUGAUCUGGACAGAAGCAGAGACAGGGUAGAUGAAGGUGAACAGUUUCAAGUCAACAGGGACUGACUGUGCGUGGGGGAUGUGUGAACAGCAGGAGCUGAUAAGGAGCCCUCAUUUUCGGACAGGGAGGGUACCAAGACCAUUCAGAAGACUGGAACCAUGGAGGAAAUGCUACUUCACACCAGGUAUAAAUGGAGUGUCAUCUUUUCAAGGAGAGAGAAACAGAUGCCCUUUGAGAAGGGGAGACGGAAGGGGAAGGAAAGUUCUGAAGGCAGAGGUGUCCAGAGAAGCCGAAGCAUGCAAUGGGAGGCACAGGAGUGAGAGUGAACUUCAAUAGACACACACUGACCCAAAAGAGUUGUGCAUCAAAGACACAUUCUGAUAACUCUGCAACUUUUGCAGAGAGCCGAUGACGUUCUAAUUGUAACAUUUCCCUUUUUACUUUUUCUUCCUUGGUGAAUGGUGGUAGACCUAUUGAUUACACCAUAAAGAUAAGAGGGAAAAGAAGGAAUGACUGCUUUUCUCAUAUAAUUAUCUUUUUAAAGUCCUUGUCCUGGUUUGCACACUCAAAAAGGAACACAGAAUUUGCAAUUAUAGGGAAGUUAUUUCUGAGCAUAAUUAAAUGCUCUCCAUCUUUCUCUCACACAAAAGCUUGCAAAUUCCAAGCUAGUAGAUUUUUGAAUCCUAUCAAUCAUUUCUAUUUUUAAAUUAUAUUCCAGAUUUAUUAUAUGAUAUACUAAUUAUAAUACAAUAUUUGCAAUAAUGAAAAUGUAUUUGAAUAGUCAAUUGGAACCCACAAGUCAACUCCUAGAUAGAUGCCUUAGUGGCUCUGAAAGGUGGUCCCCACUUGGGAUUUGUUAAAAUGCAAACACCUGGGCCCCACUCUGGGUGUACAGAAUCAGAAAUUCAGGGAGUGAAACUCAACAGUCUUUUUAAUAAGCCCUCCAGUUGAUUCUGAUACAUGUUAAGAUUGAGAACCACUUCUUCAGCAGUGUUUCCCAACCUUUUCCCUUCGUGGCAAAAAAAAAACCUGCACACGUACCCUGAACCUAAAAUAAAAGUUUAAACAAAAGAGAAAAUGAUGGCAUUUGUACAAUACCCCAUGUUAAGUGGAUAAGGCUGCCAGAGGCUUGCCCCAGACCCUAUUUGUGUUGGCCUGAGCAGCUCACCGUAACCUUUUCAUGAUCCACCAGCAGAAAAACUCAGAUCUGAAGAAACUCACACCAGUGCAAAAACAACUAUAUAUACAUUCUUUUUGUUAAUUAUGGC